CCCAGAAGCCACUGCUAUAGGUAGUCAGUGCCCAGAAACCACUGCUAUAGGUAGUCACCAGAAACCACUGCUAUAGGUAGUCACCAGAAACCACUGCUAUAGGUAGUCACCAGAAACCACUGCUAUAGGUAGUCACCAGAAACCACUGCUAUAGGUAGUCACCAGAAACCACUGCUAUAGGUAGUCACCAGAAACCACUGCUAUAGGUAGUCACCAGAAACCACUGCUAUAGGUAGUCACCAGAAACCACUGCUAUAGGUAGUCACCAGAAACCACUGCUAUAGGUAGUCACCAGAAACCACUGCUAUAGGUAGUCACCAGAAACCACUGCUAUAGGUAGUCACCAGAAACCACUGCUAUAGGUAGUCACCAGAAACCACUGCUAUAGGUAGUCACCAGAAACCACUGCUAUAGGUAGUCACCAGAAACCACUGCUAUAGGUAGUCACCAGAAACCACUGCUAUAGGUAGUCACCAGAAACCACUGCUAUAGGUAGUCACCAGAAACCACUGCUAUAGGUAGUCACCAGAAACCACUGCUAUAGGUAGUCACCAGAAACCACUGCUAUAGGUAGUCACCAGAAACCACUGCUAUAGGUAGUCACCAGAAACCACUGCUAUAGGUAGUCACCAGAAACUACUAGGCCUGUGUUGUUGCUACUUAUGGAUUCAAAAAGUGAUUGGUGCUACCAUGAUCCAACGAUGUAAAGUUACACAGGCCUACAGACCUAGUUAAAAUGACAGAAUAUUUCAUGUCGGUCUGUGUCUAUGGUCUCAUCACCUUAGCGGCUAUAAGCACAGGAGGGGCAGAUAGACCUAAUGAUAACGAGCUAACCACAGACAUUAUGCUUCCUGUAGUUCAAUACUACAGGGGUAUGCUUCAUGUUGUCGAGAAACAAGAGCCAUGUCUUUCCCAUCGUCGAGAACCUGAGGGAUGAGUUUUGCUGGUCAUGUUUGGUGCCUCGCUGCCAUUGUGGUGUUAACAAUUCUGCUAACUCUUAACUCUGGGACGAUACUCCAGGAUGAUGACAGUGACAUCACACACACUGCUGGGUAAGAGGAUCGUAAUGUGACCGGCUCAGUGGUCGUCUGCUACCUUUUAGCUCCAAUAUGAACUGGAGUUCUGAAAGACUGAUUCCUUCGCAGCUAGCCUACCCAAAGAUUUA